AUAAGCUCAAAUCCUGCUUCGUGGUACAGGCCCCAGCUCUGAUCAGCUGUGUAACUCAUAUCAUUCAAGUCACAAAACUCACAGACUUAUUAGCUGGAUGAUAAUACCAACAAACGCACCAAUAUACAUAUACAGAAUUAUUCAAGCAUAGCUGAAGAAGUUACUGUGGAUACAUUUUAUUCGACAAGCCACAACAUCAGAGUCAACAGAAGCCCACUUAACGUCUGUGUUCUAAGACAACAAAGGUAAGCAUUGAAUAAACAUUGAAUCCUACAUCCCUCCAAACACUGUGCCAGCAACAUCUUGGCCCAGACCGGCCAUCGGUCCUGAAACAACACAGCCGCAUCAGCGAGGACACUUCAUCCGUUCGAUGACUGUUCUCAAGGAGUCACCUGAGAGCAUAACCUGCUAUCCCUGUCACUGCACUGUGGCCUCAGCCCUGCACAUAACGCUGGAAAGCCAGUGGGAACAUCUCAUCUCUGCCAGCGCUUAGAACAAUAGGUGGGGGCCUCCCUUGCUGGCCAGACCCUGGGAAGAUAACCACCACAAACCAUAACCCUCACAAAGUCCUCUGUGGAAAAUCUGGCUCAUGGGGGUGAAAGGUGUGAGGUCAGGCUUGUGAGCCCAGCUUCCUGGAAAAAAUCUGAGAGCGCUCUGGACUACACGACAGAGUCCAGUCUAACACUAGUUCUCAGAACAUAAUUAUAGCUGGUGCUUGUGUGGGAUGCCGUAAGGGAGGGGGCCCAUAUGUAUAGGGGACCCUAGAGGGAGGUGAGAUGAGGCUAUAAUUAGCGUCAAAUCUUGCAGGGGGGCUCUGAAACCUCGAACACUGGCCCUCACUUUAUAGCAACAAGAUGUCCAUGUGAGAAGAAGAGAUUGCACAGAUUUCCAGCAUUCCCACUCUCUCUGCUCUGUUCUACUUUGAAUGAGUCAAUGUGUUCCAUAUGGUUUCAUUAAUGCUGUUGGUGGGAAAUGAUUGCAGGACAGAGUUGUUUCUGGAUGAGUUUUUAUCAGAAUAUUUGGCAGUGCUUGUCUAAGAAACAGCACGGUCACAUUGGCCCCCUGACACCUCAACUCAAACAAUCCACACAAACUGAAUAUCCAAUGCCACAGGAAGCCUGGUUCCCAUAUUUGUGAGUGUCUCCAUGUAUAACAGGAAGAAGGAUGAGAAAGUAUUGACGUCUAAUCGAUCUGACAUCUUCCUCUAGACUGUAGGCUUUUCCUCUUAAACACAUAUGUGAGCAGCACACACACCCACACACACACAGACUCCCUAGGGAGUCAACCUCAUGCAGAGUUUAUGAGGUCCAAGGAGCUCCGGUUCCUCUGAGGAGCAGUAAAGAAGCUAUAAAGAUGUCAACAGAUAGCCUGGUCCCUCGGUACAAACUGUGUGCUCACAAAUAAACAAAAACAUGUGGCACCAAAAUGCUUUAAAGUAUACAUGACAUCCCAGGUUUAAUACACACAAUUGUUUCCCAGACUUCCAGAGUUCCCCAACAUAAUAAUUGCUGUACUUUUGUUUCUGGAAACCACGAUGACUGUAUCACUUGGGAUCAGAUUUACUAACAGUUGGACAGUUUGUACUUUACUGACCAAGGAAGCAGUUCUCAUUUACAUUUUUAUGAGCAAGUUUCCAACUUGGUACAAUUGGUUCAACUAAGUGAGUAAAUUGUACCAGACUAUAGCCAGGCUAGCAGCUCUGUGAGGGUGUGCAUAGGCACAGUGGUGCUUCGAGCAACACGCUAACAUCAGUAAACAUGCUCACAAUGCUGUUUAGCCGGUAUAGUGCUUACCUGUUAGUUUAGCGUGUUAGCAUGCUAACAUUUGCUUAUUAGCACAAAAAACUAAGUAGCCUACAGCUGAAGCUGACUGAAAUGUAAUUAGUUAUAAUACUGUUUAUAUAUACUGUUAAUAAUUAUCUGAACAAAAUUAAAUGGUCAUUUUUCCAAUAGUUGUUAUGAUGUGAUAUUUCAC